rnacentral:rRNA from 1 species
CUACGGGGCGCACCAGUGGGGAAUAUUGCACAAUGGGGGAAACCCUGAUGCAGCAACGCCGCGUGAAGGAAGAAGGCUCUUGGGUUGUAAACUUCUUUGAAUGGGGACGAAACAAAUGACGGUACCCAUAAAACAAGCCACGGCUAACUACGUGCCAGCAGCCGCGGUAAUACGUAGGUGGCAAGCGUUAUCCGGAAUUACUGGGUGUAAAGGGCGUGUAGGCGGGAGAGCAAGUCAGAUGUGAAAUGCCAAGGCUUAACCAUGGAACUGCAUCUGAAACUGUUUUUCUUGAGUACUGGAGAGGAAAGUGGAAUUCCUAGUGUAGCGGUGAAAUGCGUAGAGAUUAGGAGGAACACCAGUGGCGAAGGCGGCUUUCUGGACAGUAACUGACGCUGAGGUGCGAAAGCGUGGGGAGCAAACAGGAUUAGAUACCCUCGUAGUC